rnacentral:rRNA from 1 species
UUGUCACGCCAGUGGCAUCGCAGAGUAGCUACGUUUGGAAGGGAUAAGCGCUGAAAGCAUAUAAGCGCGAAACCCACCACAAGAUGAGAUUUCUUUUAAGGGUCGUGGGAGAUGACCACGUUGAUAGGCUAUAGAUGUAAAGGCAGUAAUGUCAUAGUCGAGUAGUACUAAUAACCCGUAAGCUUAUGUAC